rnacentral:rRNA from 1 species
UAAAGCGCACGCAGGCGGUUUGUUAAGUCAGAUGUGAAAUCCCCGGGCUCAACCUGGGAACCUGCAUCUGAUACUGGCAAGCUUGAGUCUCGUAGAGGGGGGUAGAAUUCCAGGUGUAGCGGUGAAAUGCGUAGAGAUCUGGAGGAAUACCGGUGGCGAAGGCGGCCCCCUGGACGAAGACUGACGCUCAGGUGCGAAAGCGUGGGGAGCAAACAGGAUUAGAUACCCUGGUAGUCCACGCCGUAAACGAUGUCGACUUGGAGGUUGUGCCCUUGAGGCGUGGCUUCCGGAGCUAACGCGUUAAGUCGACCGCCUGGGGAGUACGGCCGCAAGGUUAAAACUC